GAGGAUUGAACCGACCACGUGCAUUGACUAUGCACAUCAUGCGAACAUCCUCAUCUGCCUCUAUUUGCAUUGCUUUUGUGCGACACCGUCAUAGGCAUGCUGUGAUAAGAUCAAAUGUGGAGCAAUGUUGAAGGUGUUGGGGAAUCAAUUUGCGAAGUGCAGCUAUGUCGAGGGUUCUAAAGAAGAAUGAUCGUUGAAUCAAGUUGUGGUUGGAAGAAGGGAGGUUAUCUUGGAUUUGCUCGUAUUCGCGAUGGUUAAAUGUAAUGCGAGGUGGAUCUCUUGCCAUUAGAAGUUCCCUACCCCAUACUGGUGCAAUGGAAGGUUUGGUUACUCCUCUAGCUAUUUCGGCCCAAGCGUUAAUGAAUUGUUGGUAACCAAAACCAUCAAACAUAGUGUGGUUGAAGCGAACGACUAAGAUGAAACCACCACACUUAAGUCGUGUUACCUGCAUUUAUGUUCCAUCUUCAAUAACUAAAAGAAACAAGCUACUUAUAAAUGUUUUAAUUAAAUUCUCACAUCCAUUACCAAAUUAAUAUAUAUAUAUAUAUAUAUAUAUAUAUAUAUAUAUAUAUAAGUAAUCACUUAGAGUGUGUCACUCGAGCAUUUAUUUAAGUUAUCUGAGUUUGAGAGUUAGUUAACAAUUUCUUCUCCAAAUUGAAGUUGUGAAUAUUUUUACUUUAUUAGAGUACUUACCAUAACUUCUGCAUUAAAAAAUAAAUAAGUAAAUAAUAAAUACAAUAAGAUUUUAAAAUGUAGUUCAACAGUAUUAAAAUAGGAGUUACACUGAUUAUCUCAGCCAUAAAUUAUUGUAUAUUUAUUUAAAUUAAAAUGAAUUUAAAGAUUUUAAUAAAAAGUUCUAAUCUGAAUUUUAAUAUUCUCUUAGAUAGGCAACACAAAUAUUUAUUAAUAAUAUUAUUCAAUUAAAAUAAUUUUUUAAUGUUAAAGGGAUAAAACAAAAAUUUAACUGCAGAUAACUACAACCAAAAAUCAACUUAAAAUUAAAACCAGUGGAAAGCCGUGAAACUUACAUUUUAUAAAUUAAAACAAUUUUUUUCCCUUACUCAUCAUGGAUUUUAGAUAACUAAUAUCAAACAUAAAAUAAAAUUAAACAAAUGAUAAUAAUAUUCAUUAAAACGAAAGCACAUUUGAAUUCCUAAGACUCCCAAUUCAAUAGAUCUGAAAUCUAGACUAGAAAGCACAUUUGAAUUGUUUUUUAUAUUUUAUUUUUUAAAAACAAAUUUCAAAACAUGGUGGAUUUUGACAGAAUUUAAUUUGGAAGUAACAUAUAAUUAUAUCAGAAUUUCAGUUUUUAAAAUUUAAAAAAAAAUCUAAAAAAUGAAUCAAAAUGUUCUAGUUUGAUGAGUGUGCGUAGUGAACCUGUACGAGUAGAAGGGGAGUGUCGGUAAUUUGUUGUGAGCCAGGAACAUCGUACAGCAGUUCAUCAAAGCAUGGAAAUGGAGGUUGGAGAGAAUCACCAAACUCAGCCAGUGUGACGUCAGCAUCACCCUCCAUGAACAUGGCUCCUUCUCCAGUGCAAUCCACCAUUAAUUUGCGUUGAGGUCCCUCCCUAAGCCUACCUGCAAAUGGGUAAUAGAAGACAAGUGUUUGCGACAGUGCUUGCCGAAUCACUUCAACUGGGUCUUUCUCUGUCAUUAACACUCGUAGGACACUUAUCGGUGAAGUGUUCAAUUAAAAGAAUAUUUGUUGGAUUUUUGAAAAUUCUAGCACGGUUCUAACAUAGUUUUAAAAGGUAUAAAUAUAAUAAUUUUCUAAAAACUCAAUUUUAUUGUAUAAAUUUGUAUUAUAAUUAUAAAAAUAAGGAAUAAAUUCUUUUGAACCAGUCAUGAAAAAUAUCUUCUUGCUUCCAAAAGAAUUUGAAACAUACUUUUGCACAUAAAUAUUUAUUUUUCAAUUUAUAUUCAAAAUUAUAUAAUAUAUAGAUCCGUGUCCCUGUAUCCUAUAUUUUUUAGAUUAUGCGUAUUUUCGUGUCUACAUCGUGUCAGUGUCUGUAUCCGUAUCUGUGCUACAUAGGUUCUCAUCAAAUAAAUUAGAAAGGGUGGUGAUAUUUUAAUACGAAGGGAAAUGAUGUUUUUGAAAAAGUUGUAUAAUUCUUGAUGUUUGAUGUGAUAAGUUUAAAUAUAAAUAUAUAUAAUAUUAAAUAAAUUUUUAAUUAAAUAAUAUAAAAAAUAAUAAAAUAAUAAUAUUAAGAGUUCUAACGUAAUUAUAUAAAAAAAUAUGGAUGUAUCAUUAUCCUACAAUAAAAUAUAUACACUCUACACACAAAUAAAUGAUUAUUUUAAUUAUAUUUAUUUUAUUUUUAAUUAAAAAUAUUAUUAUAUUAUUAUAAUUAACUUGGCUGUCAGAUGUAUGGUUUAAUGUGUGGGUGUUAAAGUAAACUUUUCCAUUUCUAAACACGUUUUUUAAGAGCAAUAAAUUCGAAAUACAUUUUUCAUAAAGAGUUUUGAUACUUUCAAAAUUAUGUAUGCAAUAAGUUGAUAAUGGGAGAGAAAAAUAACUUUAUGUAUAUAUUAAGUUAUCAUUGACAAUUGAAGAUAGAAAUAACUUUUUAUGUAUACAAUCAUUGAUAAUUGGAGAGAAAUAACUUUUUUAUGUAUACAAUCGUUGAUAAUUGGAGAGAGAAAUAAUUUUUUAUGCAUUAAGUUUAUCCAUUAAGUUACAGUUGACAAUCAAAGAGAGAAAUAACUUUUUAUGUAUGCAAUAAAAUAAGUUACCGUUGACAGGUGGAGAGAGAAAUAACUUUUUAUGUAUACAAUAAGUUAUUGUUAAUAAUAAGUUAUUUGUUAACAAUUGAAUAGAGAAACAACUUUUUAUAAAAUAAAUAAUUUUAAAAUUAUAUUAGUAAAAUCACAAUUAUAAGUUGGUCUCCUUCAAUUUAUAAUAAUUAGAAUUUUUUUUUAAAAUAAAUAAUUUUAAAAUUAUAUUAGUAAAAUCACACUUGUCAACUAAUCACCUUCAACUUUCGGUGCUGAAAGCAAUAUUUUUCAAACUAAAAACACUCUUAAUGAAAGUAUAUUUCUCUUUGGUGUAAAAUAAGUCAUUCUCUUUCAUGAUAACAUAAGAAAUUUUCUACCAACAAUUUUUCUUUUAUUAUCAUUAUAACAAACUAGCGAAAACACAAACACUAUUAUAUCUGUGUGUAUUUAUAUUUUUUAUUUUUAUUAUUAUUAUAUGUAUAUUAUUAUUCUCACAAUAAAAAAUAUAUUAAACAAAUUUAAAUUUAUAACACAAUAAACAUAAUUAUAUUAAAACAAUUACAUCCUUUGUUUCUUUCUCAAAACUUAUAAAUCACUAAUUUCUAAGAUGAGAUGAGAAACUCCCCAAUAACAAACUCUAAAUAUAUAUUUUUUUUUCAACAAAGAAUUAAUUAAAUUAAAAUAGAGACACUUUAGGGGUAUCUCAAUCCUAAUACAAAGAACCAUAAAACUAAUUCUACCAGCUAUUUAAAAUAAACUACUUCACCAAACACACAUUGGCUCCAAUAAAAAACAACCCCAGCAGCCUGCAUAAUAGUCUUCACACCAACAUAAUGGUAUCUUAAUACCUAGUAUAGAUACGCACUUCAGACUUCCCUUUCUCUUUUAGCUACUCCUAAAAGUUGUACCCAAACAUCCCAACUAAAAACCAAUGGCUGAAUAGAGCCCUAUUACUAGAUUACAAUUCCAAUCUCAGACUAACAACAAAGCAUAUAGUGGAAUAACCCUUCGUAGCUACACCAGUUCAGGAAUUCUUAUAAAAAACAUUAAUCUUAAAGCCACUUCCAGCUUAGUCUUCAUCUUCAUGCCAAAGCCUCCCCACAAAAAAAGUGAUUCCUCUUCCUCCACCUUACAUAACAAUAAAAACAUAAUGAAACAACUCCUCUUCCUUCAAUGUACUUCCUCUCUUUCUACUCCCUUUUACUGGAAAAAAUUAUGCUCCCCACAGUUGAGCCUGCAUCAAAAAAGAUAACCUUCCCACCGCACAAGUCUAAAACAUUGAAUCAAGACAGAUAACUUCUACAAGCAUAUUACAAAACGUCCGACCAUAACAUUCAUCAAGUACAAAGAUUAUCCAGACUCCUGUAAUUUGCGAACAGAAAUAUGUAAAAGGUUAGGCAAACAAAAAGACAGAGAUACCACCCUUACCUUGUUACCAUAUUGAUGCAUGUGAAAGGUGAUAGAAUCCAGUCCGAAAAGGAGAAAGUAACUCUCUUAUCUUUAUGUUUCAUCCAAACCCAAGAUUGUACUUGUGCCAUAGUAAAAAUUUCCUCUACAUCUACCUUUGCUUGAUUAAAGGUGACCCUAUUUCUAUGCUUCCAUAUAGUCCAUACAAUUGAGACCCACAAACUCAUCCAAAGUCUAUUGCCUUCCUUAUUAAAGCAGAUGCUAGAGAAUUGUUCGAAGUGAUUAUUCAGCACUAUGUGAUUCACCGAACAGAUUCCCAACCAACUAGAGCACAUAUUCCACACUUUACUUGACUCCCUACAUGAGAGAAGGAUAUGCGUAGAAGUCUCCUCUUCCCUUCCGCAUAAAGCACAUAAAGUAUCCCUUAGUGGCACACCCCUCUUAUGCAGAUUCUAUUUUGUCGCGAUCCUAUCCGAAAGGGCUCUCCAUACAAAGAACAAAGCUGAGGGCAUUGCCUUCAGAUCCCAGAGAGAACCAAACACUGAUACCCCCCCUUGCCUAUAAUUAGCUAGCUUAUUAUAAGCAGAUUUAACCGAGAAAGAGUAUGAUGGGGGUCGUUCCAUAACCUUACAUCCUCAUUAUCUGGUUGAAAUGACGCCAUUGAUAUUAUUGACAUGAAGUCAUCUACCAAGGUCUUCUCCCAUUCAAACCAUUCUCUUCUCCAACUGAACAUCCACUCCCACCGAUCUAUAUUCCAUCUGCCAAAACUUCCGAUAGUCUUGUCUUUAAGCACAGAGUUGUUGUACAUUCUUUCAUACCUUGCUUUGAGUUGGCCAAUAGCUAGCCAUUCAUCUUCCCAAAAUUUGAUCUUGUCCCCUUUUCCAGCUUUCCAAUAUGUAUUCUGUUUAAACCAGUUGUCGCCUUGGUCUGAUAGUCCAACUCUAGAUAAGUCAUUCCACCAUCUAGAUGUGAGCUUAUUUCGAUUCGGUGUACAUGAAUUCAAUAACCUCCUCAAAUCAUACUUAGAUUCCAAAACCUCCUUCCAAAGUCCACGCUCAUUGGAAUCUAACCUCCAUAGCCAUUUUGCCAAGAGAGCCUUAUUAAACAAGUCGAUACGUUUAAUGCCAAGACCACCCUCUUCUUUCGCUUUACAGAUAUUUUCCCAACUAGUCCAGGCGAUUUUCCUCCCUUCCUUUCCCCACCCCCACAAAAAUUUCCGUUGUAGCUUAGUGAUUUCCUUACACACUCCAGUUGGGGCUUUAAAGAAGGAUAGAUAAAAGAGUGGAACGACAUUUAUAACAGAUUUUAUAAGGCAGACUCUUCCCGCAAAGGAUAAAUUCCUACCCUUCCAUACAGACAAAUUCUUUCUUAUCUUUAAUAACACUGGUUCCCAGAAAGAACAUCUCGAUGGGUUACCACCUAUAGGUAACCCUAGGCAGGUGAAUGGGAUAUCCAUUAGACCACAAUGGAGGAUUUCAGAAUACAUUUUCACCUCGUACCUUUCUACUCCAAUUGCCCCAAUCUUGCUCUUGUGAAAGUUAACUUUGAGACCUGAGCUUAAUUCGAAGCAUCUUAGAAUAGCCUUGAUACACAUGAUGUUCUGCACAUUUGGUUCACAUACGAAAAGGGUAUCAUCUGCAAAUUGUAGUAGAUUUACCUCCACCUUUUUACCCCCCACUUUAAUACCCAAAAGCAGAUUCUUUCUUGUGGCUUGCUUUGCUAACCCAGCUAAUCCUUGUGCCACAAUCAGAAACAAGAAUGGCGCCAGCGGAUCCCCUUGUCUAAGGCCUCUAGUUGGUUUAAAUUCCUUUGUUGGACUACCAUUUACCAAAACCGAUAUUGUAGCUGAUUCAAGACAUGCUCUAAUCCAUUGAACCCAUUUCUCACAGAAACCUAGUCUUCGCAUCAUAUAAAAUAAAAAAUCCCAACUUACCGAAUCAUACGCCUUCUCAAAGUCAAGUUUCACUACCACCCCACUCUUUCUCCUUUUUUUUAGAUCAUCCACAACCUCAUUCAAUACGAGAACACUGUCUAACAAACCUCUAUUAGACAGAAAUGCAGAUUGUGACUCAUCUAUUACGUUGGCAAUGACCCUUUUAAUCCUAUUAGCUAGCACUUUCGUCAAAAUCUUAUACAAGCAACCAACAAGAGAGAUAUGUCUAUACUCUUGAAGGGAUUGGGGAUUCUCCGAUUUUGGGAUCAACAUUAUAAAAGACGCAUUACAGCCCUUCGGGAUCAUCCCCUCUUUAUGAAAGAAUUUUACAGCUCCCAACAUGUCUUUUUCUAAGAUAUUCCAAUUAUUUUUAAUGAAGCUGAAGGUGACUCCAUCUGGGCCAGGACUUUUAUGACUAUCACAAUUCCAGAUGGCUUCCUUUAUUUCUUUUUCAUCAAACGGUUCAGUCAGGAAUCUAUUUUCAGAAACGGAUAUCUCCUUGAAAACCACAUUAUCCAGCCUAACACCGAUAUCUUCGGUGGCCGACAUCUUGUUUUUGUAAAAAUCCAAAACCAUCUCUUUUACCUUGUUUGGUUCUUCCACCCAGCUCCCAGAUAUAUUACAAUUCAUACCUUUUAUUUCAUUCCUCAUCCUUCUCCAUUUGAUAGAAGUGUGAAAGAAUUUAGAGUUUAGAUCCCCUUGCUUAAUCCAUAAUGCUCUUGAUUUUUGCUGUAAUAGGGAUUCAUUUCUCUCAUUUAUAACCUAUAACCGGCUCAAGAGUUCUCUUCUUACCAUGAUCUUGUUUUCAUCCAAACCCUCCUCAUCAUCUCUCGAAUCCAACUCUUGUAUUUUCCUCAAGAUCUCAAGUUUAGACUUUUCAGUAUGCCCGAAAACAUCUCUAUUCCAACCUUUUAGGUCACUCUUUAGCAUUUUUAGUUUCUCUUUUAACACCACAAUUUCGUUACCUUGAACCAGGUAACUUUCCCACUUGCUUUUUACAAAGUUAACAAACUCUUUGUCUUCCUGCCAAAUGUCAAGAAACCUAAAAGGUUUUGGACCCCAAUCUGCCACAUUUGAUUUUAACACUAACGCACAAUGAUAAGAUAUUUGUCUCUCUAAAACGUAUUGCUUACUACCUGGCCAGUGUUGUAACCAUUCAAAGGACAUCAAAAAUCUGUCAAGCCUACUCUUUGCUUUACCGUUAGGUCUAUACCAAGUAUAUUUUCUUCCAAUACAGGGUAUAUCCACCAUUUCCAUAUUAUCAAUGAAAUUAUUGAAACCUUGCAUUUCUCUCUUAUUGCCGCUUACUUUAUUAACCCCCCUUCGUUCCUUCCCGUUUCUUAUGGAGUUGAAAUCCCUCAAUAUACACCAAGACCUACAAGGUUCCCUUUGCCUAAUCUCCAAUAAUUCUGACCACAUUUGUGUUUUCUCGUGUAUGAUACAGGAAGAAUACACAUUUACGAUAACUACAGGGAUAUUUUUCUCCUUAGAUAAUCUAGAGAACACUAUAAACCUUCUGUUAAUGAUUUUGCUGUUGCACUGGAAGAACACUUUGUGCCAAAUCAUAAGAAUACCCCCUGACCCAUUUACUGGCUCACUGUAUAAGAAAUCAAUGUCAUUAUCGCCCCAUAACUUACAACAUAAAUCUAGACUAAAAUUACUCAUUCUUACUUCUUGUAAACAUAACAUUUAAAUCCCCUCCUUUCUAAUAAUUUCCUUAACAUACCUCCACUUUACAAGGUUCUCGAACCCUCUCACAUUUAAAGAGAGAAUUCUCAUUAACAACCUAAAACCUCCCCUGCUUCCCUUUUAAGUUUCAUAAACCUAUCCCUUUUUUCCAAUUCCUCUAGGCUUACCAUAACUUUUCCUUCUUCCCCGCAAGAAGCCCCUAACUGUUUGCCCAACUCCCACACUCUAAUUGUUUCAAGGCUUCCAUGUUUCAACCAAAAUAAACGAUUACAGUUAUCAAUGGCUGUAUCAGAGACAAAAAUACUAAUUUGAGAUAGAGCUGACCUUAUAUUCUUACGUUCGUCCUGCUUACUGCUCUUGCUUGAUUCUCCCACCUAGAACUCUCUCCUAUCCAUCGUUUCAAACGAAUUAGAAUUAGUCGAAUUGCAUACGUGCUUUUUUUGGUGGUUCGCUUCGUCCUCGACCAAUUGGAUCCCCUUUUUCUUUUGCUUGCCGAACGGAAGGUAUGUAUCUUUGAUUCUGCAAGAUUUCGAAUCCAAGUGAAAUUGCUUGUGUUUGUUCUUUGCGCCUACAAGGAUGUGUUGUUUGGAUGACUGAUUUGCCUCCCCCUCUUGUGACUCACCCAACGAAUCCUCCACCCUCGAUACGGACUUUGAAGAACCGUGAUAGCCCCAUUUCUUCCCUUCCGCUGGCGUCGAGAUUUGAGUCUCUAGGUCUGCAAUUCCUUCCGCUGCCAAAAUCGUCGUACACGGAGUAGACCUCUUCUUCUCCUUCGUAACCUCAUACGAAAAAGAGGGGAGCACGGACGUUGCUCUGUUUCGUGCAUUGACUUGGUGUGAGGUGACUUUGUCAAUCCCACUAAGACCUCCCUGCUCUGAUUCGUCAAGAGAAAUGAAGUUUUCAGAUGUGGGCAACGAAGGCAAAUAAAAAUUUGCAGGCAAAAGAGUACAUUACAAGAAAACAAGCAAUUAGCUUCCAAUUUUUUGCGUGGGCCAUUUACGGACGCUACUAUCGUCGGUCAAAGUGGCAAAAAACCCACGCAACAAUCGCAUUCGACGCAAAACGGACGCACUUAUGGAUUUAAUUUUUUUUUAAAAAAGUCCAGUCUGCGUCGACUGCGGCCCACGCAUAUGCGUCCGCCGCGGCCAAGAUUUUAAAAUUAUUUAUUUAAAUUUAUUUAAUGUAUAACAAAUAUUUUAAUAUUUAAUUCUUUAUUGUAUUUAUUUUAAAAUUAUUUCUUUAAUAUUAUAAUAAAUUAUUUAAUUUAUCAAUUUUUAAUAUAAAUUAGUUAAAUUAAAUUUAUUAAAUUAAUUAAGUGUUUGAUUUAAAAUUAAUUGAGUAAAAGAAAAUAUGUAUUUAAAUUAUUUAAAUGUUAUAUAAAAUAUUUUAUUAUUUUAAAGAUUAUUUAUUUUAAAUUUAUUUUAUUUAUAUAUUGUCAUAAAUAUUUUAUUUUUGAAAUUAUGAUAUAAAUUAGUUAGAUUAAAUUUAUUAAAUUGAUGAAGUGUUUAAUUUUGAAAUCAUUUAAAAGAAGUUAUCUUAAAAAGUUUAUAAAGAUUUGAAUGUAUUUGUGGAUGUAUUGUGAAUGAUAAUAAUUUGUCUGAAUGUGAUUUGGUUGGUAUUUCUUCUUUACAGGUAUCUUAGCUAUUUAUAGGUAAAUUGGCUAGAAAACAAAAUAAAUUUGUUUUUUUUUCUUCCCUUUAUGCGUCAGCCACCGCCGGCCCAUGCUAGCUUUUUUUUAAAUAUGCGUCGGCUUUUGCGUGGCCCUAGCCCACGCAACAUCUGAUAAAUUAUGCUUCCGUCUGGCCCGCGCUAGUUUACAUUUGCUUCCCAGUUUUUUUCGUCGAUACUCGGGCGCACGAAAAUCUGACGUAUAAGCGUCCGUUUUUUACCCACGCAGAAUGCUUGUUUUCUUGUAGUGGUAGCUCUCACUUUAAAAGCACUAAGACAUUAAUAGAAUCACAUUCAUUCUUACAAAUUUUUUGUAAUGACCAUUAUUCACCAUAGCCAUAUCACUCUCAACAACAUUCCAGUUCUCCUUUGUUGAGUUCAGAUCAUUUAAGCCAUGGAUUUGUUUAUCCAUUUUCAAUGUUGACAUAUUUUAUACCAAAAAAUGGAGUACAAAAUUCCACAAAGAAAGACAAUGACAGAAUAUAACUCAAUGAAUUCAAAAAGCAAUGAAGAUAUAUACAGUGCGAUGCCACAAACUUAUACGUAAAGAUUAAUCCAUUCAUAAUACAGGUCAUAUUUCUUUCUAAGAUGACACUGGUUUUGGAUAACAUGCAACCACAAAUUGACAGAAGUGGUUGUUUUUUAUCAGUGAAAAAACACUUUUUCUUACUUUUUUCACUAAUUAAGCCAUUUUGAAACACAACUACGCACCAAUAUAGGAUUGGUAAGCUGCAUAUUUCUGUAAAGCAUAGUUUCAGAAUGCAUUAAACGAUGAUGGUUUUGAGAUUUACUUCCCAUGUCUCAGACUAUUUUUAACACUAUUCGGGCAAUGAAGCAAGGCAAACAUGUGGAUUUAGUCCAAUGCUUUUUUUGCUACCUCAGUAUUUCUGUGUAAUGGUAGCUUUGUAAUUGCGUUGACUUAAUGAAAACCAUUUUUGAUGCAGCACAUCAGGUGCCUUAAAUAGCUAUGAUAUAUAUUUAAGGCAAUUUGCACAAAGUUCUAACAGUAUUUGUAUGCUGUAAUUAACUUUAUGUAACAAACAUUGGAAGUGUUUUAGGGUUUGCUUUAUUGCUUUUUUUUUAGGUAUAAAGUUAUUUUUAAUUUGCAUAAAUAUUUACUGUGGUAUAAGAGGUUUAAUUUAAAUCAGAUUACACAAUGCAUUGCUUUCCCAGUAUUAUAAAAACUGUUAAUUUGCUUAUUACAUUUGUCCUUAGUUCAUCACUCAUUAUUGUAAUUUUUUUUAAUCUAUAUGUAUAUGUUGCCUAUAUUAGUAACUAUUUAAUGUCACAAAAGAGGUUGAAUGCAAAACAGAUUACACUCUCAUCUGCUUUACUACUAUAUUAAAUAUAUACUGUUUAGUUAAUUUCAUUUGUGUUUGGAACCUCACUGUCCAUUUCAAUAUUCAAUGCAGUGUAGGCUUUUGAUUCCUCUUAUAGAGUUUGAUUUAUAUUUGUUUUUACUUUAUGUUCAGUUUGAUGUCUACACUUUGAUACCUACUUCAAUUGCUUUACAUAAAGCUUGAACAUAGUAAAUCUCAUUUCAAUCAAAAUAUUCAUGGUCGCAUCAGAUGUUAUUUACACAAAUCCAUAUUUGUUUGAUCCAACAAUACAAAAUGUGAAAUUAGACAAAUAGAAACUACUAAAGUAUACUAGAAAUUCCAAAAUAAAUUUAAAGUAUUAUGCUUUCUAAUUUCUUGUUUAAGCUCUGUAAGCUUCCUGGUAAAUCUUCCUUUGAAAAUUUUCUUUAUUUUUUCAUCCUUUUUCUCUUUUGCCAUAUCCCUUGUAAUAAGAAGUCCUUGAGAAGGAUCUUCUCCUUCCAACCUCUCAUCUUCUCCUUGAAGUGCUUCCUCUUCAUAUGAUCUUGAGACUCUAUGAUAAGGUAAUGCACGUGUAUGGAGUUAUAAGAAUUUGUAUAUGUUUUGGUAAAUUAGACCAACAUGUUACCCACUAGUUAACUAGUAAUGCCUAGGAACUACACCUGCUAAAAUUCCAUUGAUAUUUAUCACAACAAACUAGUACAUUUCUUCAAAAUACAAAAUAUAUCCCACACUAUAUCUACUUCUUUUCUCUAAUCACAUUAUGAGAAUGACCUAUAAUCCCAUGAAAUACAGUUUACUUAGGAGAAAUGCUUUGAGGUUGAUUUUAGUUGCGAAGCAUGUGAUUAAACUCUUUGGUAAACCUCUCCAUAGCUUCAGCAGGCAAGCUAAUCGGAAAUAUUAUUCCUUCUUCUCCUUUUCCAUUCUUAGCAGAACAGAAAUAAGAUGCCCCUGGAAAGCUUCCAGCCCCAGCUUCGGCCACUCCACCAUACACAGCCUCACCCCACCCAAAAUCCAUGGCUCUAAAUUUCACUUGUACCAAAUAUGACACAAUACAAGACCUCACAGUUGUGAAUAAUAAGCUUCGUUCCUUCAUCACCAUCAAGUCGGCAACAGAUUGCAAGUACUCUUCUUUCAUCUCACCUUUCACUUUAUUUAUUAACUCCACUGCAUACCCAAAUGGGUUUUGGCAAAGCUUCCCUGCACUCGUUACUGCCGCCGGAUAUGCAAAAGCAUUGCCGUAGUAACCAACUGGUAGUGGAGGAUUGAAUCGACCACGUGCGUUAACUAUGCACAUCAUGCGAACAUCCUCAUUUGCCUCUAUCUGCAUUGCUUUUGUGCGACAUCGCCAAAGACAUGCUGUGAUAAGAUCAAAUGUGGAGCAAUGUUGAAGGUGUUGGGGAAUGGAUUUGCGAAGUGCAGCUAUGUCGAGGCGUCCAAAGAAGAAUGAUCGUUGAAUCAAGUUGUGGUUGGAAGAAGGGAGGGUAUCUUGGAUUUGCUCGUAUUCAGGAUGGUUGCGUGUAAUGCGAGGUGGAUCUCUUGCCAUUAGGAGCUCCCUACGCCAUACUGGUGCAAUGGAAGGUUUGGUUGCUCCUCUAGCCAUUUCGACCCAAGCGUUCAUGAAUUGUUGGUAACCAAAACCAUCAGCCAUGGUGUGGCUAAAGCGGAGAGCCAAGAUGAAACCACCACACUUGAGUCGUGUCACCUGCAUUUAUAUUCCAUCUUCAACAAUUCAGACAAUUUCAUUGUUUAACUCUCACAUUAAUUACGAAAUUAUAAUAUAUAUAUAUAUAUAUUUAAGAUAUCAAAACUUUAUUUUAAAUUGAGUAACUUAAGAGAAAUUAGCUAAAAUGAAAAAGUAACCGGAAUAAUUUCAAUAUAUGUCAAUUUAAUUAUUUAAUUUUAGUAAACUAAACACUUGUGCACGUGAUUUUAGUGAUUUUUUAUUUUGAAAAAUAAGUGAAUAAUAGAUAUUUUGAGUUGUUUUUAUAUUUUACUUUUUUAAAAAAACAAAUUUCAAAUGGUAGAUUUUGACAGAAUUUAAUUGGGGAGUAACAAAUAAUUAUAUCAGAAUUCAGUUCUUAAAAUUAAAAAAAAAAUCUAGAAAAUGAAUAAAACAUGUCUUAGUUUGAUGAGUAUGUGUAGUGAACCUGUACGAGUAGAAGGGGAGUUUCGGUAAUUUGUUGUGAGCAAGGAACAUCGUACAUCAGUUCAUGGAAGCAUGGGAAUGGAGGCUGGAGAGAAUCACCAAACUCAGCCAGUGUGACGUCAGCAUCAGCCUCGAUGAACAUGGCUCCUUCUCCAGUGCAAUCCACCAUUAAUUUGCGUUGAGGUCCUUCCCUAAGCCUACCUGCAAAUGGGUAAUAGAAGACAAGUGUUUGCGACAGUGCUUGCCGAAUCACUUCAACUGGGUCUUUCUCUGCCAUUGAUUCCUGCUUUCCAUAAAUUUGUAUCAUUGGAAUGUGGAAACGCAGGGCUUCUUGAUCAUCAAUGUCGGAAAGUAGCUUGAGUUCAUGAGGAGUGGGGAUAGCAGGAGCCACCAGCUGAGGUUCGCACCUUCGCACUGUAAACUUUAGAGAAGAAGAAGAGAAAGAAGAUGAUAAAGAUGAGGCCAUGAGAAUUAUGAGAGAAGAGAAGAGAAGAAAAAUGAAGCAAAUGGAUUUUGGUUGAGUGACUGUGAGUUCCUCGGACUUAGGCUGCAACCCUUUAUAGAUGGAAAUCAUUCUCAUCAAAUAAAUUCGAAACACGUUUUCAUGAUGAGCAAUAAUACUUUUUAUCUAGAUAAUCAUUCAUUAUAAGAUAUAGACAUUGAAGUGAAUUAUUAUUAUUAAACUAAAGUUUAUAAAUAUAAAUUAAAGUUAAACAUAAGUUUGCAUAUAAGAUUAUUUAUGAAAGGUCAGACAUCAAUACGAAAAUGGACCCAAAGUGUCGCACAGCCACAAUAUAACCUGACCUUAUCAAGUGCUUAUCUGAAAGAAAAAAAAGUUACUAAAAAAAACAUGUAGUCUGAUCACGGUGAAGGACGUAAAAAUUGUGUAAAAUUAAAAAAAGUUACAGUAAGUUGUCAGAGGUCGUGAAUUAAAUAGUUACAGUAAGUUGUUAUGUUGUUCUAAGUUUUAGAAGGUUAGGUUGUUUAGAAGGGAGGAACUCAUCAUCCACUUCUAUUCCUUUCUUGGAAAUAGAGAAUGAGGGACAGCCGUGAACGACGAUACUCCGGUGUAUGGCGACAAUGCCAAGGUGGAUGGAGGGAGGACCAACGGGGGAAGCGGAUCGUAGAGACAAACAAAGCGUCCUCAAACGAAAGCUCGACUUUUUUCUUCUCAAAUUUUCCAAGUACCCAUGGUGAGUAUGACAUGUUGAAGAUUUUUCAGAGAUGGGCUAGGGUGAAAGAGGUAUUCAUUUCCAAACAUAGAAAUAGGUGGGGAAGAAGGUUCGGGUUUGUGAGAUUCUUUAUGGUACCGAACGUGUUCAAACUAGAGAAGGAGUUGGAUCAGAUCUUCAUUGGUGAUAUGAAACUUUAUGUUAACUUGCCAAAAUAUAGGAGAUCUGAGCAUUUUCAACAAGGGGGGGCGCCACUUGCGGAAGGCAAGGAUAAGCACCAUGCUCAUAGACCAAAAGGGCAAUUGAGGGGCAAGGAAUGGAGAGUAGUAAAAGGGAAGGGUGGUAACAGGGACCAUCUAGUGAAGCAGUCGUAUGCUGAAGUUGUUAGGAAACAGUCACAAGACCAGUGGACGGGACCAAGUAUUGACACUACUUCAAAAGUUCUCCCAUGGAUGUCAUAUAGUGCAGUAGGUUGGAUGGUACCGGAUUUAAACUAUACGGCUCUGUGUGAAGAGUUUAUCAAAGGGGGUAUGGCUAUGAUUAAGGUGAGACCUAUGGGAGAUAACCUUGUUCUCUUGACUCCUAGGGAAGGUGAAAGCAUGGAAGAUAUUAUUAAGCUGAAUAAAAGUUGGUUUACAAGUGCCUUCGAGGAAAUUGAACCGUGGUCUACGUCAGUUGUAGCGACCCAUAGGCUGGUAUGGGCGAGGUGCUAUGGACUUCCUAUUUCACUAUGGAAUAAGGAUUGUUUAUCUAAGUUGGUCGAAGGCAUCAGUCAAUUUCUUUGGAGGGGUGAAUAUCGAUCUCAUAAAUGGGGCUUUAUGCCCAGUUCGUUCCUUUCGCGAGUGCGCGGACAAAGGGGGACCUUCUAUCUGUCUGCAACAUAAUCAUAUUGGAUUACCAGGAGAAUCAAGUAGUGUGGACAGUUCAACGCCGAAAAAGAAAGAAGAAUUUGAUGAUAAAAUUAACUCAAGGGCAGAAGCAGAAUCCAAUACACCAGAGAGUGUGCGUAGACUCCGAAACCUGUGGGAGCAGGGCACGAAACAGUCCUGUGUGCGAUGGAGAUCGAAGGGAGGUUUAGGACCACUACAUUAUGGCGUCAAUUCUUCAUCUAGGUUAAGUCGCUGCUCCUUUGCUGAAUCUGAAAGUGACAUUGAACUUUGUAAUAAUAGAUUGAGAAUUGAGGAUACUGUUGAUGAGCCAGUACAGAUUUGGGAUGCGGGCAAACGGUUAGGUUUGAGGUGUUCAGGGGAGGAGGUGAAUGUUGUAGUAGAACUGGAAUGUAUGGAAGUUAGGGACAAGGAAGUCAGAAAAUGUGCAGAGGAGGGCACCAACCCCGUUGGUUUAUGAUUAUUGUUGAUCUUAAUAUUAGGGGGUGGGGGGGGGGGGGUACCAAAACAAAUUAUCUGAAACAUUGUAUUACUAAGGAGAAUGCGGAAUUUGUGUGUUUGCAGGAGACAAAAACUACGACUUUCUCAGAUAUUAGAUGUUUCUCACUUUGGGGAACAAUAAUAUUGGUUGGAUACAUUAUGAAGGCAAUAAUGGAGCUGGGAGUAUGAUCUCCAUGUGGCAGAAAGAUAAAUUUUGCUAUGAGACGCAUGUUGUGGGGACUGGAUUCAUUGCGGUAGUAGGUCAACAUAUUCAUUCUGGUCACAGGUGCUUCGUGGUUAAUGUUUAUGCAGCUUGUAAUCUUAGAGCAAAAAUAACUUUAUGGGAAGAUUUAUCGUCUUUCAGGCGGACCUAUCAGAACAUGGCUGGUUGUUAUUGUGGAGACUUUAAUGCUGUAAGAAGGGAAGAUGAAAGGAAAGGUAUUGGUAGGGGAACCAGCCAGAGGAAGGAGAUGAGUGGCUUUAAUGACUUUAUUGACACAAACUGCUUGGUGGACAUACCAACUGCAGGCAAAAAGUUUACUUGGUUCAAACCAAAUGGUACUGCUAAAAGUAGGUUGGAUAGAUUUCUUGUGUCUGAAGAGUGGAUUCAGUUUUGGCCUUUCUACAAGCAAUAUGUGCAGCAAAGAACUGUGUCCGAUCACUGUGCUAUUGUGGCGAAAUCUUGGGUUAAAGAUAGGGGUCCUAAACCCUUUCGUUCGAUCGAUGCUUGGUUUUUGGAGCCAGGAUUCAAGGCGUAUGUACAAGAGAAAUGGGGCUCAUACAAUAGCCAGGGUAACAACAUAUCUAGCUUCAAGGACAAACUAAAAUUGCUGAAGGCUGAUUUGAAAGUGUGGAAUAUGAAAGUGUUCGGGUGUUUACAGACAAAUCAAAGGCAAAUCCUGAAGGAAAUUGAGAACAUUGACGUUAAGGAUGAUAAUGAAGGUCUAGAGGAGCAUGAUCGACUAAAACGAUUGGAGUUACUGAGUCAGCUACGAUUGGUUGAUAGUAAGAUGGAUUCUCUUUCAAGGCAGAAAGCAAGAGCAAAUUGGUGUAAGUUUGGGGACAUAAACUCCAGAUUUUAUCAUACAACUAUCAGAUGGAGAAGACUGAAGAACGAAGUUAAAGGAGUGGAAGUUGGGGGGCAAUGGUGUGAAGAACCGGAAGUGGUUAGAAGGGAAGCAAAGUCUUUGUUUGAAAAAAGGUUCACAGCUACACAAGAUUCUGGAGUUAAUCUGAGAUCUGUGGAGUUUAAAUGCCUUCCCCAAGAAAUCAGCAUAAGCAUGGUUGCAAGUUUCACAGAGGAAGAAGUAAAAGAAGCAGUGUGUCAAUGUGAAGGAACAAAGAGUCCAGGCCUGGAUGGAUUCAAUUUCACGUUUAUUAGGAAUUGCUGGGAUUGCCUUAAAAGUGACAUUAUGGAAGCUUUGCACUUGUUCCAUGAAAAUGGAGUUAUACCAAAGGAUUGUAAUGCCUCUUUUAUAGCCCUGAUACCUAAAGUGCCUGAUCCCUUAUCUUUAGACCAGUUUAGGCCCAUUUCCCUGGUAGGCACUUUUUAUAAGAUCGUCUCUAAGGUCCAAGCGGGACGUAUGAAGGGUGUUCUUCCUUUGGUUAUUGAUGAAAACCAAUUAGCUUUUUUGAAGAACAGAGGUCUGCUUGAUAGUGUACUCAUGGCAAAUGAGGUGGUGGAGGAGGUUAGGAGGAACCGGAGAAGUGCACUCUGCUUUAAAGUGGACUAUGAAAAGGCAUAUGAUUCUGUAAGGUGGAACUUCUUAUACGACAUGUUACAAAGGCUAGGCUUCCAUAGCAAUUGGGUGAGGUGGGUUAGAGGGUGCUUGGAAUCGGCUUCCAUUUCGGUGCUUGUCAAUGGAAGCCCAACAGAGGAAUUUAUCCCGUCAAGAGGGCUGAGACAGGGUGAUCUUAUGGCUCCUUUUUUGUUUCUCGUGGUUGCUGAAGGUUUGGCUGGGCUUGUGAGACAAGCGACUAAGCUAAAAAUGUUAACAGGCGUGAAGGUGGGAAGGAAGGAAAUAGAGUGCAGCAUGCUCCAAUUCGCAGACGACACUUUGCUCAUGUGUGAGGAUAAUUUUUCAAAUGUGUUCACGAUAAAGACGAUCCUAAGAUGUUUUCAACUAGUCUCAGGUUUGAAAAUUAAUUUUCAUAAGUCCAAAUUGGCAGGGAUAAAUGUGGAUAGGUUCACUCUGGAAACUUAUGCCAAGUCUCUCAAUUGUUUUACAAUGCGCAUGCCUUUCAAGUACUUGGGGUUAGAAGUAGGAGGGAACCCAAGGAAGGUACAGUUCUGGGAACCGGUUGUCAAUAAGGUCAGAGCUAGGCUUAGCACUUGGAAAGGGAGGCGCUUAUCUAUGGCGGGUAGGAUUUGCCUGAUCAAAUCUGUGUUCACAUCUAUUCCCCUUUUCUACUUAUCUUUCUUUAAAGCUCCGAUCUCGAUCUGUAAUACAAUCACGAGCAUCCAAAGGAGUUUUCUGUGGGCCUGGGGUAGAGAUAAUAAAUCUAUACCUUGGGUAAGUUGGGGGAAAAUUUGUAAACCUUUUGAGGAAGGUGGUCUGCGUAUCAAGGAUAUCAGGAAAUUCAACUAUGCGUUGAUGGCGAAAUGGAAAUGGAGGCUAAUGAGUGAUGAGAAGGGGAAAUGGAAAGAUAUUUUGGAGUCCAAAUAUAUGGUCACUCUUGGUGGUGGAGAGACUUAGAAAAAAUAUGUAGGGAGGGUAAUGGUGUAGGCUGGUUUCAACAAGCUGUUAAAUGGAAUGUCAGAUCUGGGGACUUAGUUCGUUUAUGGGAGGAUCCUUGGAUUAAUGACAAUAAACUCAAGGAUUUAUUUCCUAGGUUAUACUCUAUUUCGCUGAAUCAAGGGAUGACGGUGGGUGAAACUGGUUAUUGGGAUGAUCAUGGGUGGACCUGACAUUUGAACUGGAGAAGGGAGAGAUUUUGCUGGGAGUCGGAUGUGGAGGAAUAAUUAUUAACAAUUCUAGCCAGGGAAGUUUUGGUUAAGGAUGCUAAAGAUUUUAUUACUUGGAGUGGGGAUUCCAAGGGGUUAUUCUCGGUAAAAUCAGCAUAUGGUCUCUUAACCAAUCAGGUUUCUGAACCGAGUAAUGCUGUUUUUAGUCUGUUAUGGAGGACCAAAGCUGUCCCAAAAGUGUUAACCACGGCCUGGAGAAUCUUGCUGGACAGAAUUCCGACUUAUCAUAAUCUUGUGGUACGAGGAAUAGUGGUGAAUUCACCUCUGUGUGUAUUCUGUAACUUGCAAGUUGAAUCCACACAACAUUUGUUUUUGUAUUGUGCUUUUGCUUACUGUGUAUGGAUGAUGUGCUACCAAUGGAUAGGUGUAGUGGGAACACAAAAUAGGGACAUUUGUAAUCACUUUCUGAACUUUCACUUAACUAAUAUGUCUGAAAAACAGAAUCAGGUCUGGAGGGGAGUGUGGGUGGCCAUCACACGAAGCAUAUGGGAGCAUAGGAAUAAUGUUAUCUUCAGACAAGAAGUUCCCGAUCCCGAAGAAACUCUACAAGCAGCUCAACUUAUAGUUUGGCUAUGGCUAAAACAUAAGGAAAGCUCGUUCUCAUAUUCUUUCUCUGAUUGGAUCCUUAACCCAUUUCAAUGUCUAUUGAGUGUUUGUUAAAUAGGGGAGGGAUGGUGUAUGCUAGUAUUUAUACACUAUUGUGGGGCUGGUUUGUGGCAGGUUUAGGGUAGUUGGUGGUCGCCGAAGGUAUGCAUCAUCGCCGUUUUUGAAGAAGGCCAACAUGAACGCCGGACGAUAAAGAGGCGUUCUCCAUGCCUGCGUAGUCGGUGGUCGUCGAAGUGGUGCAUCAUCGCCGUCUUUGAAGAACAGAAGUUCAUUUGAAGUGAGGGGCGAUGUGGAUGAGGACACGUGGAAGGCCAAUAUGAUCGCCAGUCGAUAAAGCGGCGCUCUCCAUUCGUGCGUAGUUGGUGGUCGUCGAAGGUAUGCAUCAUCACCGUGUUGAAGAAGGCCAACAUGAUCGCCGGUCGAUGUGGCGGCGAUCUCCGUGCGUGCAUAGUCGGUGGUCGCCGAAGCUGUGCAUCAUCGUUGUCUUAGAAGAACAGAAGUUCAGAUAUUGGAAGUGAGGGGCGAUGUGGAUGAGGACACGUGGAAGGCUAGUAUUAUCGUCGGUCGAUAAAGCGGCGCUUUCCAUGCGUGCGUAGUCGGUGGUCGCCGAAGGUAUGCAUCAUCGCCGUUUUUGAAGAAAGCCAACAUGAUCGCCGGACGAUAAAGAGGCGUUCUCCAUGCGCGCGCGUAGUCGGUGGUCGCCGAAGUGAAGCGGCGAUCUCCGUGCGUGCGUAGGCAGUGGUCGCCGAAGUUAUGUAUCAUCGCCGUACUUGAAGAACAGAAGAUCAGAUAGCCGGAAAUCGUCGUGGUAGGCACAUCGCCGGGUUUCCAGAAAGCUUAAUUGAAGCUGUUAGAGGUUUACGUAUAAAACUGAAGACCUAGGCAGGAGGUAUUUUAUGUUCACUGUCAUAGGAGGUUGAGAGAGGCAGCACUAGCCAUUGGGUGUGGAGGUUGCGGAAAGUCACUCUCCAAGUACCAUUCAACAUGGUGGGAGGACCUAAUGGUGUUAUGGUGGUGUGAAAUUGUUGUUUAGUGUUUUGAAACAGUCCAACAUUACAAUAGUAGUAGAAUGGAGCAGUUUUUAUGAUAUAUCUUUUUAUCCCUUGUUUUGGGAUACCUCGUGGAGGUCCUAAAAAACAGGGUUUGGGUUUUGUAAAGGGUUGGAAUACCCCUUUUGUAUCCCCUUAAUUUAAUUUAAUUCUUUGCUGAUAAAAAAUAAAAAAAAUAAUAAAAAUAAAAAUAAUCUUGAUCUUGAUCUUAGAAAUUAAUUUAUAUUUAAAUUAACAUUUUAAUAUAAUAUUAGUUAUGUAAUUUUCCUAUAAAAUCACUUGGUUGAUACACGAUAUUAGAGUUGAACUCAAUACCAAAUAUCAAUUAUACAUGUUUGUUUUUUAAGAUAAUGACAAAUAGUUAAAAUUUGAUAUUAAAAUUUUGAUAUGUUGAGAGUUAUUUUUUUUUUCUUAAAAAAUAUUUUUGGUGUUCGAACUCUUGUACAAACUCAAAAAAAAAUCUGGAACAUGUAAAAAGAACAAUUAAUAUUAAAGCUGCAAUGUGAAGUCCCUAUUUAUCAAGACAUGACAGGAACUUAUCAAGAUUCUAAAAGCUGGAUCCCAAACACUCUUAAGAGUUAUCGAAAGAAUGUUAUCCACGAAAGAAAAAUGAUGAAUGUAUUUCUAUAAUUUGACAAUCAUCACGCGUGCCACAUUUAAUGAAAAGUGAUUUCUGACAGACGUACACCAAUACAACUAGUAUUCCCUACCGUGGUGUUCGUACUAUGAAACCUUAAAAUUCAACCAAAAAUAUCAACACUUAAACUUUCAGUUUAAAAGUGCGAGAAAAUUUGAAAAAAGAUUAUUUUAAUAAAUUAAUCUUUUAUAAUAUAAUUUUCUUUCAUUAAUAAUUACAUUUUGUAAAUAAAUAAUUAAGACAAAUAUUAUAAUAAAAAAUAAAUAUUAAUAUUUUAUUUUAAUAAUAAAUUGAAAAUUUAUUUUAUUUAAAUUAAUUUAUUAUCAUUUUAAAAUAUAAUUUUUUAUAUAUUAAAAUAUAUAAUAAUUUAUUCUUUUAAUUUAAAUUUUAUUUACAUUUUAAAAAUUACUUUUUAUAUUAAAUUUUAUUACAAAAAUCAUUUUUAUCAAUUAAAAUUUUAACUAUAUCCAUCACAUCACUCUCGUAAACUUUCAUAAAGUUUUCUUUCAUUUUCAUAAUUUAUCUUAAUCUAAACAACCUUACUUUCUUUACAUUUUUUUUUUCAAAUCCACUAUCUCAUCCAAACAAAGAAGUUCUACAAAUAUACUAUUCAUCAAAGAUGAAAAAGUGAAAGACACACAUGUUUUGAUCUAUUUAUUUACACUAAAAUAAGAGUGAGUAAUAAUGUAAAAAGUUAUUGUUCACACGCUCACUCAUUUGUAAAGAAAGACGAAAACCCUAUCCCUAAUGUUUAGCCCAAACACUAAUCUCUAACCCUAAUCACACCUUUAACCAUAACCCUACCCGUAACACAACCCCACAACCACCAAACCUACCAAGCAUCCCUUAAUUCUAAACAAUAAUCCAUAACCAUGAUGCAUAUACGAAUACGUAAAAACCUAAACAUACUAAAAUUAAUAUAAAUAGUAUAAGUAAAUAAACAAAUGGUUCAAGUAUCAAUAAAUUACAAAAUGAUUAACUUUUAGAUAAAUAAAUAACAAUAAACAGUUUUGUAAAAGAAAUAUUCAUCCCAAAAAGACGAAUAACUCAAAAACAAUUUUAUCUUUUUUGAAAUCAUUAACAUACAAAAAUUAUUCUAUUCCCUUCAAAUUUUGUUGAUUUAUUUAUUUUAAAUUUUGUUUACGCAGAACAUCAAAAUAUUUUAGAUUUGUAUUUAUUUAAGAUUUUGAAUAAGUUAAUAAUUUUAUUUAUUUAUGAUACUAAAUAUUUACGGUUUCUCUUUUUAUUUAGGAUUUUGAACAAAUUUAGGAAUUUAAUUUGUUUAUGAUUUUUAUUUAAUUUGAACAUUAAAUAAUUUUUAAAAAUUAGAAAUUUUAUUAAUUUUAAAUUUUUAUUUAAGAACGCAAUUAAAUAAUGACAUUAAAUAUUUAUGUUUUCUGUUUAUUUAGGAUUUUCUAUUAAUUUAAAAAUUUAAAUUAUUUCAUAUUUUUAUUUAAGUAAAAUAUUAAAUAAUUUAAGUUUAUUUAUUUAGGAUUUUGAAAAUAAAUAAAAAAAUAUUUAUUUUUUUAUAUUCUUUAAGUAGGAAAUACAAUAACUUAGAAUUUUGAAAAACUUAAAUUUUUUAUUAAUUUUAGAUUUUUAUUUAAGAAUGUAAUUAAAUAAAUUAGGAUGUUGUAUCUAUUUAGUAUAUUUAGUAUUUUGAAUACUUUAGAAAUUUUAUUAAUUUUUUAUUUUUUAUUUAAGAAUGAUAUUUUUUUUUUGGAUUUAUUAUAAUUUAGAAUUUUGAGAAACUUAUAAAUUUUAUUUAUUUUAGAUUUUUAUUUAACUGGAAAUACAAUAAUUUAAGGCUUUUAAAAACAUAGAAAUUUAUUUGGUUUAGAUUUUUAUUUAUGUAUGACAUAAAAUAAGUUAGGGUUUGUAUUUAUUUAGAAUUUUGAAUAACUUAGAAUUUUUUUUUAUUUCACACUUUUAAUUAAGUAGAACCUUAAAUAAGUUAAGAUUUGUAUUUAUUUAAAAGUUUGAAUAAUUUAGAAAUUUUAUUUAUUGAAAAUUUGUAGUUAAGUAAGAUAUUAAAUAAUUUUAAUUUGAAUUUAUUUAAGAUUUUGAAUAAUUUUAGAAUUUUAAUUAUUUUAUUUUUGUAUUUACGUAUGACAUAAUUAAUAAUUUAGGGUGUCUAUUUAUUUUUAGAUUUUAAAUAAUUUUGGAAUUUAAUUUAUUUCAUAUUUUUAUUAAAGUAGAACAUUAAAUAAUUUAGGUUAUGUAUUUAUUUAGGAUUUUGAAAAUUUUAAAAGUAUUAUUUAUUUUAGAUUAUUAUUUAAGUAUAAAAUUUAGGAUUUGUAUUUAUUUAGAAAUUUGAAAAGUUAGAAAUUUUAUUAAUUUUAGAUUUUUUUUUAUAAAAAUGACAUUAAAUAAUUUAGGAUAUGGAUUUAUUUAAAAUUUUGAAUAAUUUAGGAAUUUUAUUGUUUUCAAUUUUUGUUUAAGAAUGACACUACAAAGUUUAGGAUUUUUAUUUAUUUAGAAUAAUAAAAAACUUAGAAUUUUAAUUUAUUUUAUAUUUUUUUUAUUUAAGUAGGAAAUAAAAUAAUUUCAGAUCUUGUAUUUAUUUUGGAUUUUAAAUUUUUAAAAAAAAUAAUAUUUAAGAUUUGUUUUAAAGUAUUUAAAUAAAAAAUAAAAUAAUUUAAUAUUUUGUAUUUAUUUAGAAUUUUGAAAAACUUAUAAAUUUUAGGUUAUGAUUUAUGUGUAUUUGAAUUUUGAAUAAUUUAAAAAUUUACUUUAUUUUAGAUUUUAAUUUAAGUAGGACAUUUAAUAGUUUAGAAUUUGUAUUUAGUAAGAUUUUAAAUAAUUUAAGAAUUUAUUUAAGAUAUUUUAUAUAAGUAUGACAUUAAAGAAUUUUAGGAUUUGUAUUUGUUUAGAUUUUUGAAUAAUUUAGAAAUGUUAUUGCAAAUUUUUAUUUAAAUAUGACAUUCAUUUAUUUAGGAUUUCUAUUUGUUUAGAAUUUUGAAUAAUUUAGAAAUUUUAUCUAUUGGAAGUUUUUAUUUUUAUUUAAGUAGGACAUUAAAUAAUUAUUUAUUUUUAUUUAAGAAUAAUAUUAAAUAAUUUAGGAUAUGUAUUUAUUUAUAGUUUUGAAUAAUUUAUUAAAUAGGUUCCUGUAUGUAAAGAACCUACCUUCACUAACCUUCCAUUACUGACGGAACCAAGGAUGAUAAUAAAGACUUCCCUGGUGGUGUCUGGACUGUGUUUUGAAUAAUCGGUUGGUUACCUCCCAGAGAAAAUACUAAGUAAGUUUACCUUCCUCUUUAAUUUUUCCUUCCUUAAAAGGUUGCUUUUAAACACAUGGUAGUAGUUGAAAGUAUUCAACCAUGCUUGUGACAAUUUGUUAAUGUAGCAUAAUUUCCUAAUUCUGAUGAUUAAUAUUUUUAAUCACAUGAUAAAAAUAUGAUGGUACCUAACAUUGCUUUUGUAAAUCACAUCAAUUGAUAUAUGUUCAAGAAGUCAAAGGAAUUAAUCUUUCUAUUAAUUAUGUGUAGGAUGAUAAUACGGGCAUGUUAUGUGAGCUGGCUGCAGUCCGCUAAAAAAAAAAAAAAUACGGGAUGAGUUAAUAAUUUAGCCUUUUGACUUAUUUAGAUCCGUCUCGCAUAACUUGCAGUUUACACGGGUCAACGUGACGCGGGUUGGCUGACCCGCGUAAAUAAAAAAAAUUAUUUUAGUUUUUUAAAUAAAUAAAUUAUACCUCAGUCACUUAUUAUUACAGCGUGACCUUUAUUUUAUUUUAUAAAAAUUAAAUUUAAUGUAAAAAGAGAAUAUUUUAGUUUAAUCAUUUAAGUAAGUUAAUAUUAAGAGUGACAAAACUUUAAUUAUUUUUAAUCAAACCUUAUAACAACUCUCGUACUUGAAUUUCUUUAUAUUUUAAUCUUAACCGAAUGAAUUGAAAUAUGUAUUAAAUUUUAAUUUUUCAGAAGGAAAAAUAUAGUUUUUUAUAAGUACUAAAAUUUUAAUUUUUUUUAUGCAGGCUGGCCCACAGACUACCUCUUAUGUAGGGCGGACAAGUAAAAUAAAUCUACAUUUUUUGUGCAAGGCGGACCAACUCAACCUGUGUUUUGUGGGCUAAACGUGAGAUGGAUCAUAACAGAACAUGUCAACCCACAUUGUCAUCCUUAAUAAUUAUGUGAUAUCUAUACACUUGGAAGCAUGAUAUACUCAACAAUACAUAUUUUCUACUUCUUGGGUUUAUUGGCAUGAUAAUGUUAAAUUAUUUUCUUAUUUUACAGAUAUAGAUUAGCAAUGGUCAUGUCUAUGAAUAUGAAUCGGCACCGCAGAUGCUGUUUCUAUUUGCAACCUUGUGAAGGCUCUUCAGUCCAGAUCCUCGCACAAGGGAAGCUAAGUUCCCCACGUAUAUUAAGAAUUCGCAAAGUAAAAGCUUUUAUGUUUAUAUUACUUGACAAUUGGUGCUGAUAAUUGCAUUAAUAAUAUUUGGAUUUGUUGUUAAGAUGCCUUACUCAUGAUUUCCAAAAAUAUUAAGAAAAUUGUAUAUAAGAAGAUGGUAAAAAAAAUUGAGAUAAUUUUAUUUUUUUAUGGAUUGAAAAUAUAUGCAAGUGUACGAAAAUUUUCUCUUUUCAAAUAAGUAGUAAUUAGUAAAUAUUGUUCAUGAAUCAUAAUAAACACUAACAUAAUUAACAAGUAAAGUAAACAUGAAUACAAUAUAUAAUGUGUUACCUUUUAUUGGAAAUAGCCACUACAACUUUACUUAUUUUUUUUGAAUUUUUUUUUUAGUUAUUGUUCUAACACGAUUUCAACCUCUUGGUUUAUUUUUGGUAAAAUUGUGCUAUGAAACAUGUUUUAGAUUUGAAUUUAUUUAUUUUUAUUUAAUCAACACGAUUUUUUAAAACAUUUUUACAUGUUUUUGUAGAAAUUGUUAGUUGGGAACAUGACCUAACCUUAAUUAUUUUUUGUUUGUUAAAAUAUCUACUUUCAAGCACGUUUUCAACUUUAAUUUUUCCUUUUUUCUUUUUAUUUUACAUUUCUUUUGUUUUAUACCUAAAUGAUUUUUAGUUUUCUGAAAAAAAUUAUUUAAUGGUUUUUAUUUUUUUUUUUACUUUAUUUUUGUCAAUUGUUUCUUAUUUAAUGCAUUUUUUUAUUAAGUUAAAUAUUUGUGUGACAAUCCAAAGAUAUUUUUAUUAACAUUUGUAAUUGGAGAAAGAAAACUUUGAUUUGGUUUUUUCAAUUAUUGUUAAUAUGUUACACGCAAUCAAAUUUAGGCUUAAUAACAAAUAAAAGACCAACUAUCUUAUUAACAUUUGUAAUUGGACAAAGAAAACUUUGAUUUGGUUUUUUCAAUUAUUGUUAAUAUGUUACACGCAAUCAAAUUUAGGCUUAAUAACAAAUAAAAGACCAACUAUCUUAUUAACAUUUGUAAUUGGACAAAGAACACUUUGAUUUGGUUUUUUCAAUUAUUGUUAAUACGUUACACGCAAUCAAAUUUAGGCUUAAUAACAAAUAAAAGACCAACUAUCUUAUUAGCACUACAUUCUUGAAGAAGUUGGUCGAAAGACAUAGGGUUUACUCUUAGUAUAUUGCAUAUAAUAUAUUUCAUCCAACUUCAACUAAAAUAUCAGAGUUCAAUAGUUGAUUAACAUAAUUAUUACGAAGUGGAUUUUAAGCCUAACUCAACCCCAUAAAACCGGCUUUAAUCUCUAGUCGGUGUGGGAUCUCCAACACACCCCCCUCACGUCGAGACUACCUACUCGUGCGUGAGACUAUAUAUUAUGGGUGGGUCCGAUAGCGGGUGGCCUGAUAAGCCCAACAAAUACUCUUGCUAGGAUAGACUCGUAAUGGCUCUGAUACCAUAUUACGAAGUGGAUUUUAAGCCUAACUCAACCCCAUAAAACCGGCUCUAAUCUCUAGUCGGUGUGGGAUCUCCAACAAUAAUUAUUGAUAUUCUUCGAUUUUAGUUACAAAUUACUUCACUAUCAUGUAAAGAUUACAUUAUAUAAUUUGCAAAAUUGUUAUAGGUUACAAAAGGAAUAAGAGGAUCUUAAAGAAGGAACGCAUAGAUCAUAUAUAAAUUUUCACAAUAUUGUUGCAGCUACAAGUCUAGUCAUGGGUCACUUCAAAAGUACGCUUAGCGAGCUUUUCCUACUCUAAUUAGUGUCUUGAACCUCUGGUUUGCAUGAGAUCAAUCAAAAUUAGGAAAGGCUAGAGGGGGGAGGUUGGGUAGAGACGGUUCGUUCCUAGUUAGGGGGUGUUGUUUUUGUUUCUAGGUAGCAUUACAUGUGAUUGGCAGAUGGAUGUCACUCUUUUCGUAUAAGGGUUGAGAUAUUCCUGAAAUACCUCCAUUUAUUCUAUUCUUUUUUUGUCGAUAAAAAAAAUGAAACAACUUAUAGUUCAAGAAGUGUUGAAGAUCUCACAUUGACUAAAGAUAAUAACAUUUUACCAUAUAUAAGUGGAUGUAAACCUCAUUUUUUAAAUUGGUUUUAUAAGGUUGAGUUCUCUAGUUGUUAAUAAGUUGUUUCAUGGACAAAUCAAAUACCAAUGAAGAAGUUAAAAAAAAAAUUAAUUAUAAAUUAACAAUUUAACAAAACAAAAUGGUAUUGAGAAACAGAUUUUCAACAUUACAAAUUUCUACCACCAAACACUCAUUUUAUAAGUAUUAACUAGGAACUACACAUGCUUAAAUUCCAUUAAUAUUUAUCACAAUAAACUAUAAAAAAAAAAAACCCUUUCAUAAUAAAGUAUAUAUCACACAUUAUAUCUACUUUAUUUUCUCCGAUAACAUUAUGAGAAUGACCUACAAUCCCACGAAAUACAAUUUACAAGGUAGACGUUAUAAAAUUAGCAAAAGUGCUUUGAGGUUGGUUUUGGUUGCGAAGCAUGUGAUUAAACUCCUUCGCAAACCUCUCCAUAGCUUCAGCAGGCAAGCUAAUCGGAAAUAUUAUUCCUUCUUCUCCUUUUCCAUUCUUAGCAGAACAGAAAUAAGAUGCCCCUGGAAAGCUUCCAGCCCCAGCUUCGGCCACUCCACCAUACACAGCCUCACCCCACCCAAAAUCCAUGGCUCUAAAUUUCACUUGUACCAAAUAUGACACAAUACAAGACCUCACAGUUGUGAAUAAUAAGCUUCGUUCCUUCAUCACCAUCAAGUCGGCAACAGAUUGCAAGUACUCUUCUUUCAUCUCACCUUUCACUUUAUUUAUUAACUCCACUGCAUACCCAAAUGGGUUUUGGCAAAGCUUCCCUGCACUCGUUACUGCCGCCGGAUAUGCAAAAGCAUUGCCGUAGUAACCAACUGGUAGUGGAGGAUUGAACCGACCACGUGCGUUAACUAUGCACAUCAUGCGAACAUCCUCAUUCGCCUCUAUCUGCAUUGCUUUUGUGCGACAUCGCCAAAGACAUGCUGCGAUAAGAUCAAAUGUGGAGCAAUGUUGAAGGUGUUGGGGAAUGAAUUUGCGAAGUGCAGCUAUGUCGAGGCGUCCAAAGAAGAAUGAUCGUUGAAUCAAGUUGUGGUUGGAAGAAGGGAGGAUAUCUUGGAUUUGCUCGUAUUCGCGGUGGUUGCGUGUAAUGCGAGGUGGAUCUCUUGCCAUUAGGAGCUCCCUACGCCAUACUGGUGCAAUGGAAGGUUUUGUUGCUCCUCUAGCCAUUUCGGCCCAAGCGUUCAUGAAUUGU
rnacentral:lncRNA from 1 species